GUUUAUGUGUGUGCGCGCAUGCGUAAGUGCAUAUUUGGGUGCUGGCGAUUGAAUCCGUGGCCCUGUGCAUGAUCUACACUAAUAAGUGUAGUGCAUGUUCUACACUAAGAUACACCCCAGCCCCAAGUAUUUGAUUUUUAAAUUGGAAAGACCAAAAUUUCGUAGAACUGGACUGAAGAUUAAAUUAGAUACUACACACAAAUGACAGCAUAUCUUGGCUUGUGAAAAAUUUUCAAGCAUGAAAUAGAAGAGGUAGAAGAGAAAGAAGAAAAUACAGUGACUUGCAGGGAGUGUUUCAUGUUGCUAGAGAAAUAAUAGAACCUAUUUAUAUUCCGACCUUUCAAACCAUUUCUGCUGUGUUGAAUUAAAAAAUCGGAAUACUUCCAGACUGCUGGGAACAGCACUUCCAACAUAACUCACAUCUGAGCUCUAUGAAGGAAGAAGAUGACGUGCCCUUUUAUUUAUGUGGGACAGUGUGUGCCAGCCAACCAGUGAGAAGUGUUGUCCACCCAAACUGAUUCUUCCUGUGGUGACAGGCAAGGCUGACUCACCAAGAUGUGGGGGCGUGGGGGAUACAGAAUCCCUCUUCAUGGUGACGAGCUGGGUUUGGACGACUGGAUGUCAGUCCAGAAUGCAAAAUGAAAUAAGUGAUGUCCUGUGGCAUCUGCCACAUCAGUACAAGAAUGAU
rnacentral:lncRNA from 1 species